GACGAACGCUGGCGGCGUGCUUAACACAUGCAAGUCGAACGGAAAGGCCCUGCUUGCAGGGUGCUCGAGUGGCGAACGCGUGAGUAACACGUGUGUGUUCCGUCCUGCACUUCGUGGUAUGCCUUGAGAACAGUGUCGAUAACCGGAUAGGAGCGCUCCUGAGGGAGGGGGUGGGAAGGAUUUUUUGGUGGGGGGGGAGCUGGCGGCCUAUCAGCUUGUUGGUGGGGUGAUGGCCUACCAAGGCGGGGACGGGUAGGCGGCCUGAGAGGGUGGACGGCCACAGUGGGACUGGGAUACGGCCCAGACUCCUACGGGAGGCAGCAGUGGGGAAUAUUGCACCAUGGGCGCAAGCCUGAUGCAGCGACGCCGCGUGGGGGAUGACGGCCUUCGGGUUGUAAACUCCGUUCGCUAGGGACGAAGCUUUUUGUGACGGUACCUAGAUAAGAAGCACCGGCUAACUACGUG
rnacentral:rRNA from 1 species